rnacentral:rRNA from 1 species
UACGUGGGGGGCAAGCGUUGUUCGGAAUUACUGGGCGUAAAGGGCUCGUAGGUGGCCAACUAAGUCAGACGUGAAAUCCCUCGGCUUAACCGGGGAACUGCGUCUGAUACUGGAUGGCUUGAGUUUGGGAGAGGGACGCGGAAUUCCAGGUGUAGCGGUGAAAUGCGUAGAUAUCUGGAGGAACACCGGUGGCGAAGGCGGCGUCCUGGACCAACACUGACACUGAUGAGCGAAAGCCAGGGGAGCAAACGGG